ACCUGGCUGGCUCAAUUGGAAGAGCAUGAAACUCUUGAUCGUGGGGUUGUGAGUUCGAGCCCCACGCUGGGUA
rnacentral:tRNA from 1 species